UACGUAGGGGGCAAGCGUUGUCCGGAUUUAUUGGGCGUAAAGAGCGUGUAGGCGGUUUGGUAGGUCCGUUGUGAAAACUCGAGGCUCAACCUCGAGACGCCGAUGGAAACCAUCAGACUAGAGUCCGGAAGAGGAGAGUGGAAUUCCUGGUGUAGCGGUGAAAUGCGCAGAUAUCAGGAAGAACACCCGUGGCUAAGGCGGCUCUCUAGUACGGUACUGACGCUGAGACGCGAAAGCUAGGGGAGCAAACAGG
rnacentral:rRNA from 1 species